UAAGCUGCUUGAAUUUUUGUAGCUGAAGCAUUUUGGUUCCUUAAAGUUGGUUCUGGUCGAGAACGGAGAAUCCUAGGAGGAGGAACUCUUGGAGAAGCAGCUCUAGGAGAGGCAGCUCGUGGAGGUGGAGGUGGAGGUGGAGAAGCAGCUCUAGGGGAAGCAGCUUGAGGAGGUGGAGGUGAUGGUGGAGAAGCAGCUCGUGGAGGUGGAGAAGCAGCUCUAGGGGAAGCAGUUCUUGGAGAAGCAACCCUAGGAGAGGCAAUCCUCUGAGAUGGAACCCGUGGAGAAGCAGCUCUAUGAGGCACAAAUGGUGGUGUUCUUGGCUGCUCUGGAGGUGUGGGAGGCCUGAAUAUUAGUUUAUGCUCUCUUUCAGCCUCCCCCAGAAUUUUCUCAAUACUGCU
rnacentral:lncRNA from 1 species